rfam:Nematostella vectensis strain CH2 x CH6 NEMVEscaffold_350_Cont24646, whole genome shotgun sequence.
ACCAGGAUGGCCGAGUGGUUAAGGCGUUGGACUUAAGUUCAAAUGUACGGAUGUACGCGUGGGUUCGAACCCCACUCCUGGUA